rnacentral:rRNA from 1 species
UCGGGAAUUUUGGGCAAUGGGCGAAAGCCUGACCCAGCAACGCCGCGUGAGGGAUGAAGUAUUUCGGUAUGUAAACCUCGAAAGAAUGGGAAGAAUAAAUGACGGUACCAUUUAUAAGCUCCGGCUAACCACGUGCCAGCAGCCGCGGUAAUACGUAGGGAGCAAGCGUUGUUCGGAUUUACUGGGCGUAAAGGGCGCGUAGGCGGCGCGGUAAGUCACUUGUGAAAUCUCUGAGCUUAACUCAGAACGGCCAAGUGAUACUGCUGUGCUAGAGUGCGGAAGAGGCAACCGGAAUUCUUGGUGUAGCGGUGAAAUGCGUAGAUUGCAAGAGGAACACCUGAGGCGAAGGCGGGUUGCUGGGCCGACACCGACGCUGAUGCGCGAAAGCCAGGGGAGCAAAC